AACGCACCUUGCGCUCGGCGGGAGACUGCCGAGCAUGCCUGUUUGAGAAUCGCACACACCACACGUGGUCGCCAGCCGGGCGGCUGUGCUGGGGGCUCGAGCUUCCUUGGUGGAGCCCGUCCCCCUAAAUGGAGCGAGGGGCGUCUGCCCCGCAGCGUGCUGCGACCAGUCGGUCUACUCGCGGCGGAGCGGGCACGUGCCCUCUGAGCGAACCGUGAUCGCAAGCGAUCUCGGUGAUCGUGAUCGUGAUCUCAAAUCAGGCAGGACCACCCGCCGAACUUAA
rnacentral:misc_RNA from 1 species